GGAGGAAAGAAACUAACUAGGAUUCCCUUAGUAGCUGCGAGCGAACAGGGAAGAGCCCAGCACCGAAUCCCGCGGCCGGUCUCGGACGCAGGGAAAUGUGGUGUUAGGGAGAGGCGACAUGCCUCGCGAUUUGGCGGUGCGUCCAAGUCCUUCUUGAACGGGGCCCCUACCCACAGAGGGUGCCAGGCCCGUAGCGACCGCUGCCGAUCGCGAGGUGACCUUUCCUAAGAGUCGGGUUGCUUGAGAGUGCAGCCCUAAGUGGGUGGUAAACUCCAUCUAAGGCUAAAUAUGACCACGAGACCGAUAGCGAACAAGUACCGUGAGGGAAAGUUGAAAAGAACUUUGAAGAGAGAGUUCAAUAGUACGUGAAACCGUUCAGGGGUAAACCUGAGAAACCCGAAAGGUCGAAAGGGGAGAUUCAUUCGCGUCUCGUCCGCUAGGUCGUGAACAUGCGCGACGGAUGGCCACGUGUCGUUCGCGCCUUGCUCUCGACCAGAUGCGGGCGAACGUGUGCACUUCUCCCCCGGUAGGACGUCGCGAUCCGUUGGGUGUCGGUCUAAGGCUCGCGGUGGAGCCCGUUCGACGGCUUGCCGUUCGUACGGACCCGCGGUGUCCCGGCCGGCCCGCUCGACGGUAUACAGAUGGCGCGGGGCCGCGAUUCAGUUCGCGUCCGGCCCGCGGCAAGCGCUCCGUGUGCGUCGGCGAUCGGACCUAGUGCCGGUUCCGUCCCACGUAGGCUGUUGGCUGCGGUGUUCUCGGACAGACCUCGUUGAAACGCCGAUCUGCGACGCUAUAGCUUUGGGUACUUUCAGGACCCGUCUUGAAACACGGACCAAGGAGUCUAGCAUGUGCGCGAGUCAUUGGGAACGAAUAAACCUAAAGGCGCAAUGAAAGUGAAGGUCAGCCUUGCGCGGACCGAGGGAAGAUGGGGCGGUCGCGGUUUCCGCGCCGCUCCGCAUUCCCGGGGCGUCUCGUUCUCAUCGCGAGAAGAGGCGCACCAAGAGCGUACACGCUGGGACCCGAAAGAUGGUGAACUAUGCCUGGUCAGGACGAAGUCAGGGGAAACCCUGAUGGAGGUCCGUAGCGAUUCUGACGUGCAAAUCGAUCGUCGGAACUGGGUAUAGGGGCGAAAGACUAAUCGA
rnacentral:rRNA from 1 species